rnacentral:rRNA from 1 species
CCUACGGGAGGCAGCAGUGAGGAAUAUUGGUCAAUGGGCGCGAGCCUGAACCAGCCAAGUAGCGUGAAGGAUGACUGCCCUAUGGGUUGUAAACUUCUUUUAUAUGGGAAUAAAGUGCAGUAUGUAUACUGCUUUGCAUGUACCUUAUGAAUAAGGAUCGGCUAACUCCGUGCCAGCAGCCGCGGUAAUACGGAGGAUCCGAGCGUUAUCCGGAUUUAUUGGGUUUAAAGGGAGCGUAGGGGGGUUGUUAAGUCAGUUGUGAAAGUUUGCGGCUCAACCGUAAAAUUGCAGUUGAUACUGGCAGACUUGAGUACAGUAGAGGUAGGCGGAAUUCGUGGUGUAGCGGUGAAAUGCUUAGAUAUCACGAAGAACUCCGAUUGCGAAGGCAGCCUGCUGGACUGUAACUGACGCUGAUGCUCGAAAGCGUGGGGAGCAAACAGGAUUAGAUACCCCAGUAGUC